ACAUUUAAAACUUUUUUCAGUUUAAAAAAAACAAAUAAAAAUUGUGUUCAACUGUAAACUUUCUUAAAAAAAAUCUAUAUAGCUAAAAUAGGGUAAAAAGUGCAAUAAAAGGGGGGUUUUCGAGCCUAUUUUGAUCAGGUGUUGUAAAAAAAUGCAGCCAUUUCUUAUAUUGUUGAUUAUAUGAAUAGAGAGAAUGGAUUAAGGUUAUACAAGAAAAGAAAAAAAAUCAGUGGGCAAACUUGACUGUGUUGAAAUUAAUUGACCCUGAAAAGUUGAGUUGUCCUGUAUUUACCUAAUCAAAUUACCUCCCUUUACGGAGUUCUCUUGUAGAGAAACAAAUUAAAAACAGGAGGGAAAAUGUAAACAAAUGCAGACAACAAUGUUAUUUUUCGAAUUUCUUAAUGUUUUAUAUUCAAGCAUAAUGGGAAAUGGGUAAAUUUUUCACAGUGAUGUUAGCCUACACUUAUAUAUAUGGUUAAGUUGGUGUGAUUUGCUCAUAUUUUGAAAAUAUUGUCAGAACAAUGGAACUGUGUCUGUACUAAGACAGUGUAUUUUAUAGUUUAUUUUGCUUACCGUAACUAACUUUUUUAAUGUAUUUAUUUAUAUAAUCUUCGAACAAUUGUUAUAAAAUGUGUAGCAUAAAAGAUUCCGUAGGCAAUUGUGACAACUGCAGUGACGACAGAUAUUUUUUAAAAUGCUUCCAUUGGAAAAAGAGACAUGUAUAAAUUUUUGUCAGAAAUUUUUUUACUUAAAUCUGACAUUACAUUGUACGUCACAACUGAGGAUCUGUGAUAUUCAUAGAAACAUUAUCAUCGAAACAACUAACAAGAGAUAUAGAAGGAAAAAUUGUGGUGUGCCUUCAGAAAAUGUCAUUUUGAAAUAUCAUAAUACAUGUACUACAAAAGCAGUGGAUCGACAUGUUACACCCGAGAUGUUUCAAAGAAUUGUUACAAAGACAGGCAUUUUCAUUCCUAUUGGAACAUCAAUGUGUAGACUGUGUAGAGAAAAACUAUUUGGAAAUAACAGUAUUGAGCAUGUUGAGGAGGAGAACACUAUUGAGACAAAUACAAAGAACAAGAUUGCAGAAGCUGAAAUACUACAACCUUAGAAAGAAAGAGGGCACUUGAUAAAAUACCAAGGAAGCGUUACAGGGUGAAGGUUGUUGACACAAUUCUUGAUUUAGAUGUAACCAAGAAUAAGGAAACAAUAACCAAUAUUACAAGUUUUUAAAACUUUAGAUUUAAGAGCAGUCAUUUGAGGAUGUGGCAGACAUACAAUAUUGAUGAAGGAAAGCUUGUGACUUUAAAAUCAACAAAGAAUUCUGUGCAGUUAAAAGUACUCAAUGACUGGACAGAGAUGUCUUUUAAUGACCUCAUUACUGAAGGAACAGAGCAGGCUUCAAAACAACAGAAGCAGACAUUCAUUUGUUCUAUGGAUGGCUGCAUUCAAGAGUUCAAGAACCAGAUUAGUCUUGAUCAACACCUCCUUCAAGUCAGCUGUGAAUAUAAGCUAGAGAAAGGCCCAUUAAAAGAUCAGGCAAAAGUUCUAUAUGCCCAAGAGCUGUCAAAUAAUGUACAUCAUUGUCCUGAUAUACAAGCAGUCUUACUAGAAAAUGCAUGUACUACAGACUUGAGUGCCAAAGAAAUGUGAUGGGCAUUGAAAGUGAAAAAGAAAAAGAUUUUCUUUAGCAUCAAACAGAAAGAAUUCAUGACGGAUUUAUUUUAUUAUCUUGAAAGGAUGCAAGAAGCAGCCAUAUUGGAUUCAACGACAUUAUAUUUUCCCAAUAAAUAGGCGAAGUAGAAAAAAAAACACCUACCUUAAACUACUUUUUAAUAGCUUAUAUCCAAAUUUGAAGCGUAAACAAAGCCGCAAAACAUACUAUGUUACAGUUUUACACUUGAAGUAUUCAUAUGACGUCAUGAUGUUGCUAUGAAGUUUAUGUGCCAAAGAAGUCAACAACAUUUUGUGGAAUUUUUAUUUUAAGCAACUAUAUGUCCAAAUAAAAAACAGAAACAAUAUCUGUAUUGACUAUUGCAUUAGAAUGGAUAUAACUGUAUUUUAUUUUAAGAAUUGUGGACGUAAAUCUAGAUUUUACUGUUGCAAUUAUUCGUUUACCUAGCUCUGCUACAGGUCGCUAGGUAAACUCAAUUUGCGACAGUAAUAUCUAUGUUUUAUAUCCAAAAAGGUUAAAAUACAAUACAGUUAUCUCCUAAAUUACCUACACAUGAUUGCACCAAUAUGAGUUUAAUAUAAUGAAAUUUGCAUGUACUUAGAAGGUGUUUUACUUUAUUUUAAAUAUUUAAGUCAGACCAGCAUUUUACCCACAUUGCUUUAUAAAUAGCAAACUUUGUUGAUCUGUAUCAGUUAAAAACUAAUAUGCACAAUCAGUUCUUUCUUCCCUCUGUAUUCAAUUACAAAAUUAAAUCUUUAAAAAUGUAAAGAUACAUACUUAAUUUUAGAAAGAAAAAAAAAUUGUAAAAUUUUCAAAAUUCGGUUACCACAACAACCAUUUUUAUUAAAUUUCAUUAAACAAAACUAUUUUUCUGGACUGAAAAAUUUAACUGAUCAAUUUUGUUAAAUUGUAAGAAAUUUAAUGCCAUCUUUGUAUUGUUUAAAUAUGGAAAUUACUUGGAUCAUUAUUGACUUGUAGAAAAAUACAAUUUACAGAAUUUGAA